UCGCAUGACGUCUAACUCUCCGUGGUUUGGCCGGAAACCGCCUCGAAAGGCACGGGUCAAACUUGAACUUUUCGAUCUCGAUAUUCUUACGUCCAAAAACCUCCAACGAACUACCCCAAGCCUCCUAAGGACAUCACGAAUCUUCCUACAAGCUUGAAAACUCCUAAAAAUCAACCAAUACAAAGUUGAUGAAUAGUGUCAAACUCGGUGCUUAUGAUUUCGACGUGAAAACGUUGAAGUUCUUACCUGAAAUGGGUAUGGAUGAACUUGUAUCGACGAGAUGAAGACGAUAGUGGUCUUUGUUUCCUCGAUCUGUAAAUAUUUGAAGGUCAAUGGGUGUCGUCCGUACGAGUUGCAGAGAGAGAGAGAAAAGCUGAGAGAGAAGAGAGAGAGGGUGCGGGGAAGGAGAGAGAGAAGAGGGUGGUUUCUGUGGGUGUGUACGUGCCCCGUAUGUGAUCAUCCAAAUCAAACCAGAACCCAACUUUCUUUAAGUCUCUAGUUCACUUUAGGUCCAACUUUAGUAAAAUCAUCCAAAAAUCAACUUAAUAAAGUCACACAUACACACAACCCUACUUGACGACCAAGGGUAAUUUCGUAACUUCACGUCUUCGGAAAUGAAAUUCCGGAAUGGGCUGUGACAUCUCCUGUUCAAAUUUUAAUUUUUCCUAAAAUUUCUAUGAUCAGGUUCUGCAUGGAUAUCAUUAGAGCAGUCCCACUUUUUCUUGUG
rnacentral:lncRNA from 1 species